rnacentral:tRNA from 1 species
GCGCGAUUAGCUCAUAUGGUUAGAGCGUCACAUUGACAUUGUGAAGGUGGCAGGUUCGAUCCCUGCAUCGCGCA